rnacentral:rRNA from 1 species
CUCUUGAUAAAUUUCAAGUAAUUUCUGCCCUAUGAAAGGUUUAAAUGGCCGCAGUAUUUUGACUGUGCAAAGGUAGCAUAAUCACUUGUUUUUUAAUUGAAAACUGGAAUGAAAGAAGUGACGAAAAACAAACUUUUUAUUAUAGGUAAAUAAAAUUAACAUUAAAGUCAAAAGGCUUUUAUAACCCGAUGGGACGAUAAGACCCUAUAAAACUUUACUUGUAGUUGGUAUUUAUAUUGUAUUAGUGUUUGACCACAAGUUGAGCUGGGGCGGUUAAUAUAAAAACAAUAUUAAUAUAAAUAUUUAAAAUAGAAAAAUAGAACUUAUGUUAAAAAUUUUAAACAAGUUACUUUAGGGAUAACAGCAUAAUUUUUCUUGAAAGUCCUAAUUGGCAGAAAAGUUUAUGACCUCGAUGUUGAAUUGAGAUAUCUUUAUAGUGCAGCAGCAAUAAAGA